UCUGUCUUAAUUUGUUUUUCUAUCUUUUUAGCCCCCCUAAAAUGAAAAUCCUAGAAUCGCCCCUGCAUAUACCUGUGUUUUUGUUUGUUUGUUUUUUCCUGUGUAAAUGGUUUUGUUCUUAGUCUUUCAUUCAAACACAUUUUUUUUUCUGUCUAUUCUGAACUUUUUUUUCUCCUAUUGUUGAUAUCUGAGCUGUUUUGUUUCACUGUCAAAAGCCAGUAAGCCAGGUUUAUUUUCAAUUCAAUUCAAAUCACACAUUUUCAUAUUUUGCUUUCGUUUUGUUUACUACAUAAUGAAUUCAAAAUCACGAACAAGUAUUCUUGAGUUUCACAUUUUACAUACUAAGGAAGUUGUAAUAAUUUUGUUCCUAUGAGUCAACUGAAAGCUCCUCCUUACUUAGUCUACAUCUCUCUUGCUUUAUUCCUCUCACUUACGCUUCAGUCUCUAACUUCAUACCAAUGUGGACAUGAGUAUUCCAGGAAUAAUGCUGCUCCGUCAGAAUUUUCUCAUCAUUCUUGUGUUCUUUGGGAUGGUAUUGAGUGGGCUCUUGUACCUGAACAAUAACCAGAACAGCUGCAAUCAGCAGAAAAUAGAACGAGUCGUCAUAGAGCUAAAAUGGAGGCAAAAGACCUUUGGAUUGCGCUCAUUGCCAGGGUUGUUGUACAACCAGCCGAGUGUGUUGGUAGG